UUCGAAUAAUCGAAUCUUUGAUGAUGAACUAGUGUUCAUAUGUCGGGGUACUAGAUUACAUCAUCCUAGACUAUGAUAACUUGUCACGAUUCUAAUGGAACCUUGUUCCAUGAAAACAUCUAAACUCCUUCGAGUUUCCUAGUGUCAAGAACAAGCAUCAUAUGUACUAAAUGAUUAUUUUCCAUGUUAUUCUCAUAUCUUAUUUUUAUGUUGUUUUAAACACCGAAUCUCGACUCUAAACAUACUUGAACCUUAACCCUUAUACAUUCGGACUCUAAAUCUCUACUCGUCAACAAUUGGAUAAUCGGAAAACAUAUGCAAACUUUGUGAGUAUACUCGUACUUUUCCCCUUUUUACUUCUACUACUUUUGGGGUGUAACAUGUUUACCUAUUGAAACUUACACAUGAACUUUUGUCUAAACACAUGAACAUUCCUAUAACAUGCUUGUAUAUGUGAUGACUUGAUACUUUAAAUUUGGGUGAUUCUUAUGUGUUGAACUUAUCAUUAACUUCGUACGAGACAAACCUUGACAUAUGUAGCGCUAUAGGAUUAACGACCCGCCUCUACUGAAACUUUGGUUAUGUCAUGAGCAAGUUGCGUUUUCUUGGUUUGAUAUGUUAGACACAUGCCAUGUUUAAAUGUUUAUCUUGAAUCACAUGCUUGCUAUGAGGAAUUGUUCAAACUUAUCUUUUGCUAUGUUGAUGAGGACGAUGCUAAGAAAAGAAGUAGCGUUGAUGCCUAGAUACACAUAUAGACGUUAGGGUUUAAUAUGUUGUUGAUGCACUUAUGUCUGUACUUUGUCUGUAUUCGGUCUAUAUGUAAACGAUGUCCUAGUCAGUCCUGUAAGUUGACCAAGUCAACCGUCCUCCUGGUUUGACCUGGCCCAACAGUUAGUAAUAUAUUAUGUGAAGUGUCUGAGUCGAAGGAUGAGCAAUCAAAGGAUUAUGUCUAUCCUUCGAUUGGCUCGAAAGAUAAACCACGAAGGAUACUGAUGGACUUCGAAGGAUAUGCUAUCCUUCGAAGUAUAUAUGGAUCCUUCGAUGGCAAUUGUGGUCGACAGAUGGUCCUUCGGACAGUCUGUCUAAUCCUUUGACCAGACCUGCUGUGUGUGGGUAUAAAUACCCAUGUAGUGUGUUGUGUUAGAGAGACUUGAGAGGCUUGUGAGAUAGAUGCACACAUAGAGAGAGCUAGAGAGCAUCUAUCCAAACACACACACACACACUAGAGAGUUUGCAAGUUAGAUUUGUAAACAUUGUGCUUGUAACCGGAACCUUCAUUCGUAUUAAUACAGUGGUGUUAAUCGGUGAAUCCUUGUGUGUUUGUGUUUGUGCUUGUCUCAACCCGGUUUGCUUGCUAGCUUGGAUUCCGCACUCGCUAGUGGGUUUGUAUAACAAGGUUUAGGUUCGUCAUCCUCCGGAAAGGGACCUACAAGUGGUAUCAGAGCUAAGGCUCUUUACCUUGUUUAAAAUCGGGUUUUUGUUCAAGUCUUGGGUUGUUUUUUUUUGGUCAGAUCUGGAAAACCCAGUCACCGUGUUCUUGCUGUGUUCUUGAAGUUCUUGAGAUCUUCAUAUUUCGAAAGAUCAUAUAUCAGUUUGAAAGAUCAACUGUUUCGAAGGGUCAACCACCUUUUUGUCUCGAAAGAUCAAGCUAAAAUCUCGAAGGAUAUUCACAGUGUCGAAGGGUCAACCCAAACAAUUCGAAGGGUCAUCUUUGUUUUUCGAAGGAUCAAGCUAAACUUCGAAGGGUCAAAUUUAUUUGUUGUUAGUGGUGCACCUCCCUAGGUUCUCUGACCAUUCCACUGCCCAAGAAAACAAAUAAACUUUGUUGACUUUUGCUUGUGAUCCGUUCAAGGCACUGCCGCCUGACAAGAAAAAUCAAAAGGAUUUUGCAUGUUUAAACUUUAUCAAAGCCAAAGUGGUCACAAACAAUCAAUCCAUUCCACCGCCCAAAGUUCAGUGUCCAAGGAACCUCCCCAAGUGACCAAUUAAGUCACAUUGUGUCACAUUAAAGGCACUGCCCAAGAAAACAAAUUAAUUUUGUUUGAUUAUGCCGCCCAAGUGACCUAUAAAAUUCGUUUGUUUGUUCUUGUUGUGCGCCGCCCAAGUCACUUUGAUUGGUUGUUGUUGGAUUCAAGUCAAAGCACUCCAACAAGAAAAUAAUUUUUAAAAAGGCCCACUUUCCGUUUGAGAUAGUGCACCGCCCAAAGGUUUUUUUUUUUUUGUUGAUUGGUGUUGAAGAAAAAGUUCACCGUCAUGAUCUUGAAUUAAAAAAAAAAAAAAAAUAUAGGGAUAUAGUGCACCGCCCCAACCACCCAAUGGGCUUUGUUUGAUUUUUGUUGGUGUUCUCGGCUCAUGUAACCAACCGCCAAAUUGACCAAUAGGCUUUCUUGUUUGUUGUUUUGUUGGGUGUGCUCACUGCCCAAAACAAUCUCCCCCCGAUACCACCGCCCCAAUUAACCACUAAUUGUUGUUGUUGGAUUCAAGAUAAGGCCAUCGUCCAAGACAUUUGACUGUCAUUUUUGUUGAUAGUGGCACCGUCCAAAUAGGCCACUAAUAAGUGUUUGUUGGCUGUUGACCACCGCCCAAGAUUCAACCACUUUCACAAACUUGAUAAACAUUUCAAAACAAUUAUUUGUUGUGUGUGUUUUCGGCCCAUGUGCU
rnacentral:lncRNA from 1 species